rnacentral:rRNA from 1 species
UAGAGUUUGAUCAUGGCUCAGAGCGAACGUUAGCGGCGCGCCUAACACAUGCAAGUCGCACGAGAAAGGGCUUCGGCCCCGGUAAAGUGGCGCACGGGUGCGUAACACGUAGGCAAUCUUCCCUUGGGCGGGGGAUAACGUUUCGAAAGAGACGCUAAUACCGCAUGAGACCACGGACGCUUCGGCGACUGCGGUCAAAGCUGGCCUCUUCAUGAAAGCUAGCACCCAAGGACGAGCCUGCGGCCCAUCAUUGCUAGUUGGUAGGGUAACGGCCUACCAAGGCUAAGACGGGUAGCUGGUCUGAGAGGAUGAUCAGCCACACUGGAACUGAAACACGGUCCAGACUCCUACGGGAGGCAGCAGUGGGGAAUAUUGGACAAUGGGCGAAAGCCUGAUCCAGCGACGCCGCGUGAGUGAUGAAGGCCUUCGGGUUGUAAAGCUCUGUGGGGAGGGACGAACCGCCGAUGGUUAAUAGCCAGCGGCAUGACGGUACCUCCUUAGCAAGCACCGGCUAACUUCGUGCCAGCCGCCGCGGKAAUUC